AGCAUAAAUUAUAGCACUCUGAAACCACUGUUCUCUGCUGAUUUUGAAAGCUAAGCAAGAGCAGGCCUGAACAGUAGUUGGAUAAGAGACUACCUGGAACCUUGAGGUAAGGCUA
rnacentral:rRNA from 1 species